UCGUACAAAAUGUGAGGACCGUGCCAAGGGCUGUCGCUGACUUCAGAGUCGUUGCACGCCUGGGUGUGUCUCCUCACAUAAUAAUCCAUCUCACCCUUUGUGCACCACCGCGUGGGCUCCCUUUGGGAUGAUCAUCUCGAAGGGGGCUCGCGUUUUCAACACAAAAUCCCCCCUUUUAAAAGUGUAGAAUGACCUCAUACAUGCGCUAACCCGCAAUCAUAA
rnacentral:misc_RNA from 1 species